GCACGGCUGGUGAAAUGGCAGACACGAAGGAUUUAGGUUCCUUUGCCGCAAGGCGUGUGGGUUCGAGUCCCUCGCCGUGCACCA
rnacentral:tRNA from 1 species